GUGAUCAAAGCUGAUCUCAUUGGCAGAGCAUGCAAGAGUGAGAUUUUGGCGAUUGUUGCCAAGAUCCAGGGUAUUUCUUCCUCUUGUCUCCCCAGAAUGCUAUAUCCUAUGUGCACAAUCAAAUGAUGAAGAAUAUUAAUAAUUGAAAAGCCUAAUCUCCCCGUGAAUACUAGCACUUAAUCCAUACCUUAAUCUGCUCAGAGGUUGAGCAGAAUGAGAAGGUUGUUCAUACACCAAAGCCACUGCCAUCUGCAUGAGGUUGCAUAGCAAAUUGCCUUUAUCUCUUGGCCUAACGUGCCGUGUCAUCAC
rnacentral:lncRNA from 1 species